AACCCAUAUUGAGGACAUUUUCACUGGAGUUCCUUGAUCCUUUCCUAUAUCUCGAAUAGAGACUCCAACUCCAUUUGCACAAAGGACGAGAUCUCAUUCCUAAGCUU